rnacentral:misc_RNA from 1 species
CAGAGUUCAUGCCCUCACGGGUAGAUCUCCCACCCUAUGUUAUUACACUAUGUUGCUUUGGCAGGCCGCCUCUCGAGGCUACCGGCUCCGGCUGGUGCGUGCCUGCCAGAGGACCCCAAACUCUGAAAUUUUAUGUUGUCUGAGUACUAUAUAAUAGUUA